GGUUAGGGGAAGGGUUAGCUAACAGGGUUAGGGUUAGGGGAAGGGUUAGCUAACAGGGUUAGGGUUAGGGGAAGGGUUAGCUAACAGGGUUAGGGUUAGGGGAAGGGUUAGCUAACAGGGUUAGGGUUAGGGGAAGGGUUAGCUAACAGGG